GCUGGCUCCGUUAUGGCGGCCCGCAGCCCCAGCGUGGUGAUUAGCGAUGAUGAACCAGGUUAUGACCUAGAUUUAUUUUGUAAACCCAAUCAUUAUGCUGAGGAUUUGGAAAAGGUGUUCAUUCCUCAUGGACUAAUUAUGGACAGGACCGAACGACUGGCUCGAGAUGUGAUGAAGGAGAUGGGUGGCCAUCACAUUGUGGCCCUCUGUGUGCUCAAGGGGGGCUAUAAGUUCUUUGCCGACCUGUUGGAUUACAUCAAAGCACUGAACAGAAAUAGUGACAGAUCCAUUCCUAUGACUGUAGAUUUUAUCAGACUGAAGAGCUACUGUAACGACCAGUCAACAGGCGACAUAAAAGUAAUUGGUGGAGAUGAUCUCUCAACUUUAACUGGAAAGAACGUCUUGAUUGUCGAAGAUAUAAUUGACACUGGGAAGGCAAUGCAGACUUUGCUUUCCUUGGUCAAGAAGCAUAAGCCAAAGAUGGUCAAGGUUGCGAGCUUGCUGGUGAAAAGGACCCCUCGAAGUGUUGGAUAUAGACCAGACUUUGUUGGAUUUGAAAUUCCAGACAAGUUUGUUGUGGGAUAUGCCCUUGACUAUAAUGAAUACUUCAGGGACUUGAAUCACGUGUGUGUCAUUAGCAAAACUGGAAAAGCAAAAUACAAAGCCUAAGAUGAGAGUUCGAGUUGAGUUUGGAAAUACCUGGCAUCCCAUUGAAAUCACCAGUGACAUGAUCCAAUGUUCUCAUUCUGUGGCCAGCUGCUUAGUAGAGCUUAUUGCAUGUAUCUCCUAAGAAUUCGAUCUGUUUUGUAUUUUAGAAAUGUCAGUUGCUGCAUUCCUGAACUCUUCAUUUGCACUACGAGCCUAAAGACUAUCAGUUCCCUUUGGGUAGAUUGUUGUUUGACUUGUGAAUGAAAUAUCUCUUAAACCACACCACUAUUGACUGAAAAUAUGGAAAUUGUAUCUGUAAGAAACAUUUAAAGAGAAGAAUAUAUUAGUUUUUUAAUUGGUAUUUUAAUUUUUUAUAUAUUCAGGAAAGAACAGAAGUGAUUGAAUAUUGUUAACUAUACCACUGUGUGUUUA